rnacentral:rRNA from 1 species
GAUGAACGCUGGCGGCGUGCCUAAUACAUGCAAGUCGAGCGAACGGACGAGAAGCUUGCUUCUCUGAUGUUAGCGGCGGACGGGUGAGUAACACGUGGAUAACCUACCUAUAAGACUGGGAUAACUUCGGGAAACCGGAGCUAAUACCGGAUAAUAUUUUGAACCGCAUGGUUCAAAAGUGAAAGACGGUCUUGCUGUCACUUAUAGAUGGAUCCGCGCUGCAUUAGCUAGUUGGUAAGGUAACGGCUUACCAAGGCAACGAUGCAUAGCCGACCUGAGAGGGGGAUCGGCCACAGUGGAUCUGAGACCCGGGCCAGACACCUGCGGGAGGCAGCAGUAGGGAAUCUUCCGAAAUGGGCGAAAGCCUGAAGUAGCAACGCAGCGUGAGUGAUGAAGGGCUUAGGAUCGUAAAACUCUGUUAUUAGGGAAGAACAUAUGUGUAAGUAACUGUGCACAUCUUGACGGUACCUAAUCAGAAAGCCACGGCUAACUACGUG